UUUUAUUCUGAGUUUUCCUAAUACUGUUAGGUGAUCUGCAGGCAGUGAUGUCCAAACAUUUCACGAGGCUGUGGAGCAGCUUUUUAACAGAGGAAAAAGCAAGAGGCUGCAAGUGUUUCUGCAUCCAGAGGAGUCGCCCUCUGCUGGUCUUUCUGUGGGGACUGGUUGUGUGACAAUCACCACAGGAGGAAGGACAGGACACACACAGGAAGACGAAAAUCCAACACCUAAAUCAUUAUUUCACAGGAUUGAUGGUGGUCAUACACAAGAAGGAAGCAAGGAUAAAGUACAUACCAGAGAUGGUUGUCUGGGACGAAUCUCAGAAGAUCAGCAGUUUCUGAAAUACAGCACCAACAACCACGCCCCAUUCAAAGUCACCUAAAUCACUUUUUUCCCCACUUUUUCAUCCUCAGUUUGGACUCCAGCAGCUCAUCCUAAUCAUGUCCAUGGAGUUGUCAUUUGAGCCAUGUGAUUGGCUAAUUACAUAAUUGUGUUAAUGAAGAGUUGAACUGGUGUACCUAUCAAAGCUGCCAUCAUGGACAUGGAUCAUUGUUUUGGGUUGGCUAACUCGCUCUCUGAGUGCUUCCUCUUCCUCCCUCUCUACUCUGUUAUACGUUUGUUCACACUGUCAUCUCACAGAGCCUCAAACGCUCCAAACGUGCACUUAGUGGGUUGUCGACUUCACUAAUUCACACAAUUGCUUUCAGCAAAAGGGAAGCUUCUGGGUUACCCAUCCCCAAUAAUUAGAUUAAAUACUUAAGAAACAGACUGACACAAAAUGUACACAAACACCCACUUUAAUCUAAGACUUUUUCAAGAAAACAACACUGCUUUUCUUUGAUGAGGAAUGAAUGUGUAUACAGUCUGGUAAUGACAACUGUAAGUGUAGCCACGCCCCUUAUGCCCUAAUGACCUUUUUUUUUAAACAUACCAAGCUAUAAAACGUCCUCAAAUUCAGAUACCUCCACAUCUGUAGGAUGAAAAAUGAAGAGUUAAUAGCCUCUUUGAAGAAUUUCCUGUCAUGCCCAGAAUUAGCCAGUGUGGUUUUAUCAGUUUUAUCUUUUAUCUGAUUUGCAAACCCUCAUCUGUGAUUGGCCCUGCAACCCAAGCGCUAAUCAAACGUUUGGGCUCUUUGCUGCACUGCAUCCUGAUUACAGAGGCCUCUGUGCUGGCUGUGAUUGAAUUUGUCCACCUUCUGUGCGUCAUGGCGCCUCGGCCUAACCAUCCCUUGUUGACGUAUUACAGUACCUGUGCUUCCUGAUACAAAAUACAGCAAAAAACCCACCAAAUUAAGUCAAAUCUCUUGUCAUUCUCACACCCUGAAAAGCCACCAAGUGGGCUGGAUUUGAUUAUUCGUCAUGGUGGUUAGAACAAGGAUGGUGAGGACUCUUUGCCUCUUUUAAAUCUGCAGGAGAGAGCAAUCACAGAGGACAGAUUACAUUUUCAUACCUGAUACAGAUCAGAAAAGUCUGAGCUGAGCUGUGAAAUUCAGCAUAAAUUUCCUCUCCUGGAAGAGGAUUUAGAAACAGCCAGCAGACCAGCCUGCAGUGUGUAAAACUGAAAUCAAACACUAAAAUAUGAUCCUCCGAGAUCCAGAGAUUUGGAUGAGGGAGAAAGAGGAGAAUACACUUCAGAUACUGCGCUGCCAAAAAGUCACAUCAGCUUUUAUUGACAAGGAUCAAACAGACUCUCAUAUGAAGCUGAAGAUACUCCGUACUGUACUUUUUGCUUGGUUUUACACACUGAGGAGACCAUUUGCAGUAACACUAAUGGAACUGCUUGCUGAGAAAGUGAUGGUCCACUUGGUCCAAGAGAGGAAUAAAGAAGAAACAAGUGGAAAAUAAACCAAAACUCAAUGAGGAAAUUUAUGAUUUAGAAGAAAAUUGAGAAACUGAGCGAUAAGAUGUCAGAAGGGAAAAACAAGGUGGAAUGAUGUGUGCAGACAUGAAAUGGGAUCAGAUUCAGGGCAUUUUCUCAAUGAAGUGUGUAUAAUCAUCAAGUGUAAUGACAGUUUCAGACAGGAAAUUAAAGAUGCAGUGAUAAGAAAACUUUUAAAAUCC